GCAUAUCAAUAAGCGGAGGAAAAGAAACCAACAGGGAUUGCCCCAGUAACGGCGAGUGAAGCGGCAACAGCUCAAAUUUGAAAUCUGGCCCCCAGGGCCCGAGUUGUAAUUUGUAGAGGAUGCUUUGGGCGCGGCGCCUUCCGAGUUCCCUGGAACGGGACGCCAUAGAGGGUGAGAGCCCCGUCUGGUCGGAUGCCUAGCCUCUGUAAAGCUCCUUCGACGAGUCGAGUAGUUUGGGAAUGCUGCUCAAAAUGGGAGGUAUAUGUCUUCUAAAGCUAAAUACUGGCCAGAGACCGAUAGCGCACAAGUAGAGUGAUCGAAAGAUGAAAAGCACUUUGAAAAGAGGGUUAAAAAGUACGUGAAAUUGUUGAAAGGGAAGCGCCUGUGACCAGACUUGGGCCCGGUGAAUCAUCCAGCGUUCUCGCUGGUGCACUUUGCCGGGCACAGGCCAGCAUCAGUUCGGCGCGGGGGAUAAAGGCUUUGGGAAUGUGGCUCCCCCGGGAGUGUUAUAGCCCACUGCGUAAUGCCCUGCGCCGGACUGAGGUACGCGCAUCGCAAGGAUGCUGGCGUAAUGGUCAUCAGCGACCCGUCUUGAAACACGGACCAAGGAGUCGUCUUCGUAUGCGAGUGUUCGGGUGUCAAACCCCUACGCGUAAUGAAAGUGAACGCAGGUGAGAGCUUCGGCGCAUCAUCGACCGAUCCUGAUGUUCUCGGAUGGAUUUGAGUAAGAGCAUACGGGGCCGGACCCGAAAGAAGGUGAACUAUGCCUGUGUAGGGUGAAGCCAGAGGAAACUCUGGUGGAGGCUCGCAGCGGUUCUGACGUGCGAAUCGAUCGUCAAACAUGGGCAUGGGGGGCGAAAGACUAAUCGAACCUUCUAGUAGCUGGUUUCCGCCGA
rnacentral:rRNA from 1 species